rnacentral:rRNA from 1 species
GACGAACCGUACGAACGUUAUUCGGAAUCACUGGGCUUAAAGGGUGCGUAGGCUGCGCAGAAAGUUGGGUGUGAAAUCCCUCGGCUUAACCGAGGAACUGCGCCCAAAACUACUGUGCUCGAGGGAGACAGAGGUGAGCGGAACUUAGGGUGGAGCGGUGAAAUGCGUUGAUAUCCUAAGGAACACCGGUGGCGAAAGCGGCUCACUAGGUCUCUUCUGACGCUGAGGCACGAAAGCUAGGGGAGCGAACGGG